rnacentral:misc_RNA from 1 species
GAUGAAGAACGCAGCAAAAUGCGAUAAGUAAUGUGAAUUGCAGAAUUCAGUGAAUCAUCGAAUCUUUGAACCCACAUUGCGCCCGCCAGUACUCUGGCGGGCAUGCCUGUCCGAGCGUCAUUUCAACCCUCAGGGCCCUCCAGCAGGGCGCUGGUGUUGGGGAUCGGCAGUCCCAGCGGCUGCCGUCCCUGAAAUGUAGUGGCGGUCCCACCGUGACCUCCCCUGUGCAGUACAUCGCUCGCAGAGGGACAGCGGUGCGGCCACGCCGUAAAACGCCCAACUCUUCAAGGUUGACCUCGGAUCAGGUAGGACUACCCGCUGAACUUAAGCAUAUCAAUAAGCGGAGGA